rnacentral:rRNA from 1 species
GUUUCUUCGGAAACCUUGGCGGACUGCUCAGUAACCCCUUGGAUAACCUACCCUUGGGACUGGAAUAACCCCGGGAAACUGGGGAUAAUACCGGAUAGAUCAGGGAUGCUGGAAUGCACCUUGAUCCAAAGCUCCGGCGCCCAAGGAUGGGUCUGCGGCCUAUCAGGUAGUAGUGGGUGUAACGUACCUACUAGCCAACGACGGGUACGGGUUGUGAGAGCAAGAGCCCGGAGAUGGAUUCUGAGACACGAAUCCAGGCCCUACGGGGUGCAGCAGGCGCGAAACCUUUACAAUGUGCGAAAGCAUGAUAAGGGAACUCCGAGUGCCAGUAUCUAAUACUGGCUGUCCUUGUGCCUAAAACGCACAAGAUAGCAAGGGCCGGGUAAGACCGGUGCCAGCCGCCGCGGUAACACCGGCGGCCCGAGUGGUAGCCGCUAUUAUUGGGUCUAAAGGGUCCGUAGCCGGUUCGAUAAGUCCUCUGGGAAAUCUGGUUGCUUAACAAUCAGACUGCCAAGGGAUACUGUCGAACUUGAGACCGGGAGAGGUAAGAGGUACUUCAGGGGUAGGAGUGAAAUCUUGUAAUCCCUGGGGGACCAUCUGUGGCGAAGGCGUCUUACCAGAACGGGUCUGACGGUGAGGGACGAAAGCUGGGGGCGCAAACCGGAUUAGAUACCCGGGUAGUCCCAGCCGUAAACGAUGCUCGCUAUGUGUCAGGUACGGUGUGACCGUAUCUGGUGCCGUAGGGAAGCCGUGAAUCGAGCCACCUGGGA